GGAAUCUUAGACAAUGGGCGCAAGCCUGAUCUAGCCAUGCCGCGUGAGUGAUGAAGGCCUUAGGGUCGUAAAGCUCUUUCGCCAGAGAUGAUAAUGACAGUAUCUGGUAAAGAAGCCCCGGCUAACUCCGUGCCAGCAGCCGCGGUAAUACGGAGGGGGCUAGCGUUGUUCGGAAUUACUGGGCGUAAAGCGCGCGUAGGCGGACUGGAAAGUUGGGGGUGAAAUCCCGGGGCUCAACCCCGGAACUGCCUCCAAAACUAUCAGUCUGGAGUUCGAGAGAGGUGAGUGGAAUUCCGAGUGUAGAGGUGAAAUUCGUAGAUAUUCGGAGGAACACCAGUGGCGAAGGCGGCUCACUGGCUCGAUACUGACGCUGAGGUGCGAAAGUGUGGGGAGCA
rnacentral:rRNA from 1 species